rnacentral:rRNA from 1 species
AACGAACGCUGACGGCAUGCCUAACACAUGCAAGUCGAACGAUCCCUUCGGGGAUAGUGGCGCACGGGUGCGUAACGCGUGGGAAUCUGCCCUUGGGUUCGGAAUAACAGUUAGAAAUGACUGCUAAUACCGGAUGAAGCCUUCGGACCAAAGAUUUAUCGCCCAGGGAUGAGCCCGCGUAGGAUUAGGUAGUUGGUGAGGUAAAGGCUCACCAAGCCGACGAUCCUUAGCUGGUCUGAGAGGAUGAUCAGCCACACUGGGACUGAGACACGGCCCAGACUCCUACGGGAGGCAGCAGUGGGGAAUAUUGGACAAUGGGCGCAAGCCUGAUCCAGCAAUGCCGCGUGAGUGAUGAAGGCCUUCGGGUCGUAAAGCUCUUUUACCCGGGAUAAUAAUGACAGUACCGGGAGAAUAAGCUCCGGCUAACUCCGUGCCAGCAGCCGCGGUAACAC